UGGGGAAUAUUGCACAAUGGGCGAAAGCCUGAUGCAGCAACGCCGCGUGAGUGAUGAAGGUCUUCGGAUUGUAAAGCUCUGUCUUUUGGGACGAUAAUGACGGUACCAAAGGAGGAAGCCACGGCUAACUACGUGCCAGCAGCCGCGGUAAUACGUAGGUGGCGAGCGUUGUCCGGAUUUACUGGGCGUAAAGGGUGCGUAGGCGGAUGUUUAAGUGAGAUGUGAAAUACCCGGGCUUAACUUGGGUGCUGCAUUUCAAACUGGAUAUCUAGAGUGCAGGAGAGGAGAAUGGAAUUCCUAGUGUAGCGGUGAAAUGCGUAGAGAUUAGGAAGAACACCAGUGGCGAAGGCGAUUCUCUGGACUGUAACUGACGCUGAGGCACGAAAGCGUGGGUAGCAAACAGGAUUAGAUACCCUGGUAGUCCACGCCGUAAACGAUGAGUACUAGGUGUAGGAGGUAUCGACCCCUUCUGUGCCGCAGUAAAACACAUUAAAGUACU
rnacentral:rRNA from 1 species